UACAUCAGAAUCUCAGGCUGUGCAGAGAUCAUCUACAGGGUAAUCAGAUUACCCUUGAGGUAUUACUUGUUUUCUCAUCCCUUUUAGAUUUAUUUUAGACUUAAUAUCAGAUAUGAAGACUAGAUCUAGAGAUUUAGAUCUGAAAUAUAUGUAGGAUAAAUUUUUUUAAAUUAUUUCAUCCCAGAUUUGAUGAAAGCUGGA
rnacentral:lncRNA from 1 species